rnacentral:lncRNA from 1 species
CCGAAUCUGGGUAAGUCAGAAUUCCAUCGACAAAGCUAGCCAAUCCAUUACUUAAGCUUUUCACGACCACAGUUAAGUCGAUUAGCUAUCCUCUGUUGCCCACAUUCCUAAGAUAACAGAAAUAUUUUAUCUUUAGCCGAUCCACUCACCCUGAAUUAAAGGAACCGUUCUUAAGAUAGCCGAUUCACUCCCCUCAAGGGAUUAACUGUACAGAAGCCCUUAGGGUAACAGCACGCAACCAUCAGACUCGCAUCUUCAUCUUUUCAAUCUCCAAGUCUUUUGACUUCUCUUAAAAGCCCUAACUAUUCGCAAUGGCGGGUAGCAAAGGCAAACGUC